rnacentral:tRNA from 1 species
GGCCCGUUAGUCUAGCGGUUAGGACGUCUCCCUUUCAAGGAGAAGAUCGCGGGUUCGAGUCCCGCACGGGCUA